UUUUCCCAGACUUUCCGCUGGCCGGUGGCGACCAACAUCGACGGGAAUGAGAUCCUGGAGAUCCAGGUGUUCAACUACAGCAAAGUCUUCACCAACAGGCUCAUCGGGACGUUCCGGAUGGUCCUGCAGAAGGUGGUGGCGGAAGGGCAGCUGGAGGUGACGGACACGCUCAUCGAUGACAACAAUUCCGCCAUCCAGACCAGCAUCUCCAUAGAGAUCCGCCAGG